AAAGAGAAAAGCAGAUUGACAGAACACCUCCGAGAAGUUUAAAAAUUGACUCAACAAAAUCUGUAUGUGAUAUACACCUUUCAAAUUAGAGAAGGCAUAGACACUGCUCCCCACAACGGGCUGGAACAACUGGCGACCCCCUGCGUAUGCUGGGUGGAAGAGGGCUGGGAUUACAGGAAGGAGCCACCACACCCAGCUGAAAACACUCAGUUUACUAACGUUACCUUCUGUCUGCUCCUGUGAGAGGAAGCCACACUGGGCUCCCCGGAGAUGGGGGACGGAUCCCAUGGGUCUCGAGAAGCGGCGCAGGAAAGGGCCCCUGAGACCACAGACACUCAGGCCCUAACUGGGUAAAGGAAACUGAAAAUGCUCCUUCAUUAACAAACUU
rnacentral:lncRNA from 1 species